GUGGGGAAUAUUGGACAAUGGGCGAAAGCCUGAUCCAGCCAUGCCGCGUGUGUGAAGAAGGUCUUCGGAUUGUAAAGCACUUUAAGUUGGGAGGAAGGGUAGUAACCUAAUACGUUGCUACUUUGACGUUACCGACAGAAUAAGCACCGGCUAACUUCGUGCCAGCAGCCGCGGUAAUACGAAGGGUGCAAGCGUUAAUCGGAAUUACUGGGCGUAAAGCGCGCGUAGGUGGUUCAGUAAGUUGGAAGUGAAAUCCCCGGGCUCAACCUGGGAACUGCUUUCAAAACUGCUGAGCUAGAGUACGGGAGAGGGUGGUGGAAUUUCCUGUGUAGCGGUGAAAUGCGUAGAUAUAGGAAGGAACACCAGUGGCGAAGGCGACCACCUGGACUGAUACUGACACUGAGGUGCGAAAGCGUGGGGAGCAAACAGGAUUAGAUACCCUUGUAGUCC
rnacentral:rRNA from 1 species